AUGCACUUUGGCUCACAAAAUUUCCAAACGUUACUAAAGGUUUUGAAACAGAGGCUGGAUGACCAAGUGGCUUUAGCAUCUACCCGGGAGGCCCUAUUUUCAGUCCCACCUUCAUCUCAAGUUCCUUUAAGAUCUACCCAUGAGGCCCUACUCUCGUUCCCACCUCUGUCUCAAGUUCCUUUAAGAUCUAACCGGGAGGCCCUACUCUCGGUCCCACUUCCGUCUCAAGUGGCUUUAAGAUCUACCCGGGAGGCCCUACUCUCCGUCCCACUUCCGUCUCAAGUGCCUUUAAGAUCUACCUGGGAGACCCUACUCUCAGUCCCACCUUCAUCUCAAGUUCCUUUAAGAUCUACCCAUGAGGCCCUACUCUCGGUCCCAUCUCCAUCUCAAUAUAUACCUGAGACAACACUAUGUGAUACAAAUGGCCAUCUGUCGGGGGUACUUUCAAUGUGACUUUCCUGUUUCUUGGAAGGGGAUUGGACUGGAUGGCCCGUGAGGUCUCUUCCAACUCUAUGAUUCUAUGCUGAAGCCUCUGUGGUAGAGUCCAAAUAUUAUAAUUUUUUUGUCAGGAUGAUGGAAUAAAAACAAACAAACAACUCCCUAUGCUAGCAUCCUGAACAUACACUUCCAGUCUUGUAGUUUAGACAAAAUGCAAGAUAGUAUGCGUUUUGCAAUGAAAGCAAUGCAAAAGCACCUGCAAAACUGGCCUGCUAGCAAACAUAGUAAUAAUUACUGAAUUAUAACUCACAGUAACACAUUUAGGGAUAUCUAGGUCAAAAAUAGCACCUUGAACUGAGCUCAGGAGCAGUUUGAAAACUAGUGUCAUUGCUGGGAAACGAGUAGUAUGUUGCUCCUAAAACACACACCUGACAACACAUUGACUGCCAUACUUUUGCACAAACUUUCAAAUGUGCUUCAGGGAAACUCCACACCAGAGCACAUUACAGUAAUCUGAUCCACAGUAAUUCUAAUAAUCCCUAACAGUUUUUGUCAUUGAUUAUAAUAGUGACAUUUAACUCUUGGAAAUCUCAAACCUAUUGAUCAUACUAUUGUAAAACACCAGGAUUAUUUUUUUUCAAUAUUUAAUCUAAUAUUUUAUACAAAAGUCUAACUGUGAUUGCACUAUAUUAAUGGAACUCAUCUUAAAAUUGUGCAUUCAAGAAUGGCAAUAACAUUUAAAAAAACAUAUGGAAUAAUGCAAAUAUCAACCCAAUUUCCAAUACCUUCAUCCUUCUUAAUUUCUGAACUCUACCAUACAAGCUUCAAAUUAAUUUAUUCUUGCCAAUACCAAUCAACCUGCUUUUUCAUCAAAAGAGAUUACACAACGCAAAGUGAUAUAACUGGCUACAGUUGAGUUAAUGUACCAUUGUUUGCAGCAAGAAAUACAAUAUAGCAGACAGGUUAGGUUAAGAUAAAGAUCAAUGGGUUAUGAAAGGGCUAAGACACUAAGGUAAGGAGAAAUUAAAUUUAAAGUCAUCAAUUUCAAAGACUGACAGUGAAAUGCUAUAUAUAUUGACUCAAAAGCAGUUGCCCAUCCUAUGUUAGGACAUUCAGCCCCCUGCCUUCACUUGGGUUGGGGGCACAAGACCCUUUUUUUAACCUGAGAUAAUUCCUAAGAAUGUAUAGGUCUUCCAGCAUGGAUAUAUAAUUGAUGUCCAUUGAAAGCUGAUGAUAGAAUCACAUUGAAGGAUUUGAUUCUCUCAAAAAAUUGCUAGAGAGAUGCAUUAUUAGUGGAAGUUAACCAUAGAACCAUACUGGAGGACCUAGAGAUUCCUAGAGACAACAAAUAUAUAAAUAAUCAAAUCCAUAAAAGUAAAAAAAAAUGGUGGGGAGACAACUGUAUACUGACAAGUAUACUGAUAAGGGUUAAACCCUUGUGCCGGCUGGACUGCUGACCUGAAGGUUGCCGGUUCAAAUCUAUGAGGCUGGGUGAGCUCCCAUCUGUCAGCUCUAGCUUACAGGGACAUGAGAGAAGCCUCCUAGCAAGAUGGUAACACAUCUGGGCAUCCUCUGGGCAAGGUCUCUGUAGACAGCCAAUUCUCUCACACCAUAAGCAACUUGAAGUAUAUUUUCAAUUUGCUUUUGACACAUAAAAAAGCAUGCCAUUUUAAGUAUUUGGGAGAUGCUUUCCAACAAGAGGAACAUGCAUACCCAUGGAAUCAUCUGCAUGAUCUUCUCAUCCAUGGAUCACUUAGGUGCCAAGUGGAUGAGGUGUACUGUCCUCACUGUUUCCAUUCUAUCUGUUCCUCCCUAUUAUCAUAGUUGAAGGACAAGGGUAAGAGAAAGGCCUCUUGACGUAGAAAUAACCACUUGUACAUAUGAAUAGUUGACAUCUGAGGAAUGCUGCUCUGAUGACUAAAACACAGCAGGCUGGGACAUUUUUUUUAUCAUACAAAGGGUGGAUUCUCUUCAGAAGUCACACCUUUGGGCAGGUAGUUGUUGGUAUGCAGAACAGCCUAUAGAAAUUAAGAUACACAGAAUGGAGGACUCCCCAUUCAAGAAAAGUAAAGAGCCUGUAGAACACGGUUUGAAAGUCUAUGCUAGAGUUGUGCGCAGAACCCGUUUUCCUUAGUUUCAUCUAUUCUUUCGUACUUUCGUUACCUUCGGGAGCAUGUAACGAGAAGGCCCCCAUACGAAAAUAACUCGACACGAAAGCAAGCGGGAGUCGAUCAUUGGUUCUCCCUCUACUUUCAUGAGCAUGUGGUGCUUCAUAUCUCCUUGCCUUGGAAAGAGAGAGUGAGUGUGUGGCAUGCAAGCCCAGCACAGGUGUCUGCCUGCAGCCAAGCGCCUCCUUUAGAGCAAGACAGUCAGAACUUGCUUUCUUGCUUUGAGAGAUUGCAUGUGUGGUGUGCAUGCCCAGCACCCAUGGCUUCUGCAGCUGAGCACCUCCUCUAGAGUAAGAAAGUCAGAACUUGCCUCCUUGCCUUGAAAGAGUGUGUAUGUGAUGUGCAGGCCCAGUGCGGGCACCUGCCUGCAGCGGAGCACCUCCUCUAGAGUAAGAAAGUCAGAACUUGCCUCCUUGCCUUGAGAGGGUGCUUGUGUGACGUGCAGGCCCAGCGCUCAAGCCUGCCUGCAGCCGAACACCUACUCUAGAGUAGAAACAGGUAAGAAGCCUCCUUAAAGCAUGCGCCUGUCUGCAGCUGAGCACCUCCUCUAGAGUAAGAAAGUCAGAACUUGCCUCCUUGCCUUGUGUGGUAUGCAGGCCCAGCGCUCGAGCCUGCCUGCAGCCGAACACCUACUCUAGAGUAGAAACAGGUAAGAAGCCUCCUUAAAGCAUGCGCCUGCCUGCAGCUGAGCACCUCCUCUAGAGUAAGAAAGUCAGAACUUGCCUCCUUGCCUUGUGUGGUAUGCAGGCCCAGUGCUUGAGCCUGCCUGCAGCCGAACACCUACUCUAGAGUAGAAACAGGUAAGAAGCCUCCUUAAAGCAUGCGCCUGCCUGCAGCUGAGCACCUCCUCUAGAGUAAGAAAGUCAGAACUUGCCUCCUUGCCUUGUGUGGUAUGCAGGCCCAGUGCUCGAGUCUGCCUGCAGCCAAGUGCCUACUCUAGAGUAGAAACAGGUAAGAAGCCUCCUUAAAGCAUGCGCCUGCCUGCAGCUGAGCACCUCCUCUAGAAUAAGAAAGUCAGAACUUGCCUCCUUGCCUUGUGUGGUAUGCAGGCCCAGUGCUCGAGUCUGCCUGCAGCCAAGUGCCUACUCUAGAGUAGAAACAGGUAAGAAGCCUCCCUUAAAGCAUGCGCCUGCCUGCAGCUGAGCACCUCCUCUAGAAUAAGAAAGUCAGAACUUGCCUCCUUGCCUUGUGUGGUAUGCAGGCCCAGUGCUCGAGUCUGCCUGCAGCCAAGUGCCUACUCUAGAGUAGAAACAGGUAAGAAGCCUCCUUAAAAGCAUGCACCUGCCUGCAGCUGAACGCCUCUCCUAUCUCCUCUAGAGUAAAACAGCUUAAAUGCCUAAAAUGACAGGAAGGGGGGUAUGGGAAGCCCUCCCUCCAUAAUGGGUCAAUAGAAAACAGAUCUUUUGGCACCAGAGACCAAAAAUAGGUAUUUGCUCUCCUGAUUUUGGGAGGUUCCCAAAAAUGGAUCGGAGCCCCCACUGAAAGCCAAGACCCUAAACGGCUCAAGGUUUACCCAGACAGCACAACUAUAGUAUAUACAUGCAUUUCUUCACUUUAUCAUGCAUCCCAAGAAAAGUCAGCUAAAGAAUCGGAACACUAAAUGGCUGCAGAAUAACUUCUAUCACCCUGGAAGGGGCAAAGAAGGGAACCAAAGGGCAAAGCUUGCCCUGUAAACUCCUCCAAAGGAUCUAUGGUGAACUAGAUGUCAGCAUGAUCAGAAAGACUGCUAGUACAUACUCUUCUGAAUGGCAAAACAGCAACAAUGUAAUGUUUGCUACAGUUCCCUGCCCCUUUUCAAACUAAUUGGAUACAAAUAGCAUAUAUAAAACAUAAAUAAAUGUUUGUUACAGUUCUCUUUCGCUUCUCAAACUAAUUGGACACAAGUUGUAUACAUGAAAACACACAGAGCUUUAAAUCCAAUUGUUAGUCCCAACUAGAAACAGGCCCAUGGAAUCAGCUGAAUUUUGACUCACCGUUGAUUAAAUGGGUUUACUCUACACAUAGGAAUAAACAUCUGUGUUUGUCACAGAGAAUGUUAUAUAUGUGUGUAUAUGUAUUUACAUAUUAUAUAAUAUAUUCAUGACAUAUACAUGAUUAUACAAGUGUAUACAAUGUAACAUAUACUUAGAUAUAAAUAUCUGUGUAUGUCACAGAUGUUAUAUAUGUGUAUCUAUAUAUAUUUACAUGUGUAUACACACACAUAUAAUAUUCCUGACAUACACAUAUAUUUAUACAUGUGUGUAUGACAUAUCAUACACACAGGUAUAAAUAUCUGAGUAUGCCACAGAUGUUAUUAAUAUGAUAUACAUAUGUUAUAUAUUUGUGUGUGUUUGUGUGUGUAUAAUAUAUAUGUAUCUAUUUACAUGUGUAUAUACACACAGACAUGUAAUAUAUUCCUGUGUAUCAUACACAAGGGCAUAAAUAUCUGUGUAUGUCACAGAUAAUGUUAUUAAUAUGAUAUACAUAUGUAUACACUCAUAUAAAAUAUUCAUAGCAUACACAUAUCAUUUAUACAUGUGUAUGUCACAGAUAAUGUUAUAUAUGUGUGUAUAUUUAC
ensembl:lncRNA